rnacentral:rRNA from 1 species
AGGUCACUGCUAUCAGUGCUCGACUAAGCCAUGCGAGUCAAAUGUUCUUCGUGAACAUGGCGUACUGCUCAGUAACACGUGGACAACCUGCCCUAAGGUCUGGCAUAACUCCGGGAAACUGGGGAUAAUUCCAGAUAAACCAUAGAUACUGGAAUGUGCUGUGGUUAAAAGCUCCGGUGCCUUAGGAUGGAUCUGCGGCCUAUCAGGUAGUAGUGGGUGUAAUGUACCUACUAGCCUACGACGGGUACGGGUUGUGAGAGCAAGAGCCCGGAGAUGGAUUCUGAGACAUGAAUCCAGGCCCUACGGGGCGCAGCAGGCGCGAAAACUUUACAAUGCGGGAAACCGCGAUAAGGGGACACUGAGUGCCAGCACCAUGUGCUGGCUGUCCGCAUGUAUAAAUCACAUGUGUCAGCAAGGGCCGGGCAAGACCGGUGCCAGCCGCCGCGGUAACACCGGCGGCCCGAGUGGUGGCCAUUAUUAUUGGGUCUAAAGGGUCCGUAGCCGGUUUGAUCAGUCUUCCGGGAAAUCUGACAGCUCAACUGUUAGGCUUCUGGGGGAUACUGUCAGACUUGGAACCGGGAGAGGUAAGAGGUACUACAGGGGUAGGAGUGAAAUCUUGUAAUCCUUGUGGGACCACCAGUGGCGAAGGCGUCUUACCAGAACGGGUUCGACGGUGAGGGACGAAAGCUGGGGGCACGAACCGGAUUAGAUACCCGGGUAGUCCCAGCCGUAAACGAUGCUCGCUAGGUGUCUGGGAUGGUGCGACCGUUUCAGGUGCCGCAGGGAAGCCGUGAAGCGAGCCACCUGGGAAGUACGGCCGCAAGGCUGAAACUUAAAGGAAUUGGCGGGGGAGCACUACAACGGGUGGAGCCUGCGGUUU